AGGUGACAAAGAGCCAUUUCACAUCUUUUAAGUGGAGGAGAAACAUGAUCAGGUUUGUAUCAGAUGGAUCUCUUUGGUGGCAGUGUGGAGGAGGACUCCAAGGAAGUAGAGACUCUAGGCAGCAUCAGCUUCCAUGCAGCAGCUCUCCUCCCAGCUUUAUUCCAUCAGCUCAGCAGUUCUGAUGAUGACGCCUCUUUGACUCCACCUGUGGCGCAGCCUGCCUCCAGCCCUCUCCACUUAGCACUCCGUUCAUAUAGGACUCCUGUUGUCCUAAAGAUUUGGUCAGUCCUUCCAGCUCCCAUUAAUCUGGAUUCCUCCAGAGGGCACAGAUUCCUGCUGGCCAUAUUUCGGAUGUAAUUGGCUCCCCACUAAUCAGCUCUGUAAUCUGAGCUGUUUGAACGUUCCUCCGUUGGUUGAGCUUCAUUCCAGUUCUUCCCCUUUCGCUGAUUGGUCCAAGAGCAGCGACUGCACGUCCAGUUCCGCCUGUACAGUCUUCUACCUGUCAGCCUCUCGAGCAGAUGUGAGCAGCCGACUUAUCCCCUCACCCCCAAGACCCCUGCUCCUCGUCAUGUUUGAGCAUCCCCAGGUCUUUUGUAUGCAUUGCAUAUACAUAUCGCAAGUCCUCAGCAUCCUUGUCACACUGCUUAUAGUGUUCCAAUUUGUCUGUAUUCACUUAAAAAAUGUGGUAUUCCAAACUGAGUACAACUUUCCACGUGGUCUACCUAGCCCAGAGGAGAGUAAACCCAUCAUCUCUCCUCCUCUAGACAUUAUACCUCUUCAUUCAGUGCAGCCUAACGUGGCUCAAACCAACCCUCCGAUUCUUAUUAACCCAUUUGAUGAAAACAAGUUCAUAUGCCAGUGUGAAUCUAGACACUGGUUGGUCAUAGGGAGAAGGAC
rnacentral:lncRNA from 1 species